GGGAUGCAAGCGUUAUCCGGAAUCACUGGGCGUAAAGCGUCUGUAGGUUGUUUAGCAAGUCUAAUGUUAAAGACUAGGGCUUAACCCCAGAAAAGCAUUAGAAACUGCUAGACUAGAGUAUGGUAGGGGUAGAGGGAAUUCCCAGUGUAGCGGUGAAAUGCGUAGAUAUUGGGAAGAACACCAGUGGCGAAGGCGCUCUACUGGGCCAUAACUGACACUGAGAGACGAAAGCUAAGGGAGCGAAUAGGAUUAGAUACCCUAGUAGUCUUAGCUGUAAACGAUGGAUACUAGAUGUUGUGUGUUUUUUCAUGCAGUGUCGUAGCUAACGCGUUAAGUAUCCCGCCUGGGGAGUAUGCUCGCAAGGGUGAAACUCAAAGGAAUUGACGGGGGCCCGCACAAGCGGUGGAGCAUGUGGUUUAAUUUGAUGCAACGCGGAGAACCUUACCAGAACUUGACAUAUCAUGAAUCCUUAUUAAUGUAAGGAGUGUCUUCGGAAGCAUGAAUACAGGUGGUGCAUGGCUGUCGUCAGCUCGUGUCGUGAGAUGUUGGGUUAAGUCCCGCAACGAGCGCAACCCUUGUCUUUAGUUGCCAUCAUUAAGUUGGGGACUCUAAAGAGACUGCCGGUGACAAACCGGAGGAAGGUGGGGAUGACGUCAAGUCAGCAUGCCCCUUACGUUCUGGGCUACACACGUGCUACAAUGGUUAGAACAAAGAGUUGCGAACUUGUGAAAGUAAGCUAAUCUC
rnacentral:rRNA from 1 species